CGUGUAGGCGGCCUGGUAAGUCAGAUGUGAAAGCCCUUGGCUUAACCAAGGAAGGGCAUUUGAAACUGCCGGGCUUGAGUACGGGAGGGGGAAGCGGAAUUCCCGGUGUAGAGGUGAAAUUCGUAGAUAUCGGGAGGAACACCGGUGGCGAAGGCGGCUUCCUGGACCGAUACUGACGCUGAGACGCGAAAGCGUGGGGAGCAAACAGGAUUAGAUACCCUGGUAGUCCACGCCAUAAACGUUGGGCACUAGGUGUUGCGGGUAUUGACCCCUGCAGUGCCGAAGCUAACGCAUUAAGUGCCCCGCCUGGGGAGUACGGUCGCAAGGCUAAA
rnacentral:rRNA from 1 species